CAUGCAGGCAUGAGUAGCGAUAAUUAAGGUGAGAAUCCUUAACGCCGAAAACCCAAGGUUUCCUACGCGAUGCUCGUCAUCGUAGGGUUAGUCGGGUCCUAAGUCGAGUCCGAAAGGGGUAGACGAUGGAAAAUUGGUUAAUAUUCCAAUACCAACAAUUAAGCGCGAUGUGGGGACGCAUAGAGUUAAUCGAGCUCACUGAUGGAAUAGUGGGUCGAAGGACGUAGGUUGAUACUUAGGUAAAUCCGGGUAUCACGAGACCGAGAUCUAACAGGCUGAACAAUCUCUUCGGAGAGCGUUUAGAAUCGAUGAUACUGUCGUGCCAAGAAAAGCCACUAAGUAUAUUAAUUGUUGCCCGUACCGUAAACCGACACAGG
rnacentral:rRNA from 2 species